rnacentral:rRNA from 1 species
UACGGAGGGUGCAAGCGUUAUCCGGAUUCACUGGGUUUAAAGGGUGCGUAGGCGGGCAGAUAAGUCAGUGGUGAAAUACCUGAGCUUGACUUGGGAACUGCCAUUGAUACUAUUUGUCUUGAAUGUCGUGGAGGUUAGCGGAAUAUGUCAUGUAGCGGUGAAAUGCUUAGAGAUGACAUAGAACACCUAUUGCGAAGGCAGCUAACUACGCGAAUAUUGACGCUGAGGCACGAAAGCGUGGGGAUCAAACAGG